AUAUUAAACAAAGGACAAUGGGCACUUUUGUAUGGGGAGUGUCCCAUGGAUGUAUACUGUUGAGACAUAUGUCGUUUUAAAGCUCUUAAUCGUAGUAUUAUUUUAUUGUAUGGCACCAACCUUAGACCACUUGCAGGGACCGAGCUAUAUAAAAAAAGAAGUUGCGCAUAUAAGCAGUUAUAUUUCCUUAUACGCGGGAUAUAAAAAGUUUUAGCGUAUUUUAUUCGAAAGAAUAUAAAAAAUGCUUUAUGUUUUUUGUAUCAACACCAAUGAUAAAGUAUUUAAAGGGACACAAUGAACAGUUUUAAAAAAUCGUCAUUCUAAAAAUUACUUGAUACACAGCGAAAUAAGAGUGUAUACAAAUGCCAUGCAUAUCAUGUGAAAAGUAUUUUUAUAAGCUAUUUUUCGUAUAAUAUAACUGGGGUCAAAUCGUUGCAGGGACCAAAAUAAAACCAUUUAAUGAGUUAAUUAAUUGUAGUUAAUUACACCUUAACUUUUCUACUCAACGCCAGAUGUCGCUCUAAAGCAAAAUUCUACUUGACGUAAAACAUUUAUACAUCGCGGUAAUCUCGUCAGUCUUACUCCAUCAUUUUAAAAAGUAUAGACUAGUUUAUGGAUUUCUAAAGUUAUGUCAAGAUGACUCUGAAUGUAAUAUUGUCAACAAUAAUUGUCAAAACACGCAAUUUAAAAUAUUCAACAUUGUAAUUACAAAAUAGUAUAUUUCUAAUACGCUAUAAUUUUCUCCAAUCGAAAGGCACUCCAUUCCAUUGAUCUCAGAGAGUAUGCUCCUUGAUGAUCUUCACUAUUCAUGAGGUAGGUAAGAUCAAAGUAUUAUUUUUUCUCGUAUAGCUGCUAUAUAGCGUUCGACUCCAUGGAAAAUAAAGGCUCCAAAUUAUAUAAAAAAUGUAGCAUAUAUACAAAGUGCAAUUUAGAUAGUAUUCCAGAAAAAAAUGCGCCUAUGUAAAUGCUGAAAAGUUUCCUAUCGUAUUGUCGAACAAAUUCAUAUCUACUUCUGAUCUACGCGACCUUAGAAGUUUGGAUUGUCCUACCUAAUCAUUUUACAUUUUAUUGUUUUUAGAACAAGAAUUAUUUUACUUCCCACUGUCUAUGUAAGGGGACUUAGAGCGGAUUCAUACUUUACUAUACGUGUCGUGUCGAAUGAUAGUCCCUAUGUCAGUUUCUCCAAUUCUAUUUUGCGUAGGAUAAGUUAAAAAAAUAAUUAAAAAUAUGUGUUACCGUAUUUUUAUUCGUGAAAUGUUACCUAUAUUUCUAAGUUAAUGAUUGUACUAUACUUCCAAAAAUAUGUCUGACAAACAUUUUAUAUGAAAGCCAUUUUUCCAUGUAAAAAUGAACUGUUAUAGGGACCAUCUUUUGAAUUUAUGAUAAUUUAUUCAUAUUUUAAUGUACUCGGGUAGUUAAUAUUGCAGGCAUUAUAUCAGCACUAAAUAAAUGCUGUGAACCAGAUAUAUAUUAAGUGGCGAAUAACGUUUCCAAAUCGCAUUUUCUUUUGACAUAUUUUUCUUUUUUUUUUGCUCUUUUUUUCACGACCGGUUUGGCCUAGUAAGUCGAUGAUCCUGGGUUUGAAUCCCGGUAAGGGCAUUUAUUUGUGUGAUGAGCACAGAUAUUUGUUCCUGAGUCAUGGAUGUUUUCUAUGUGUUUAAGUAUUUGUAUAUUAUAUAUUAUUAUGUCGUUGUAUGAGUACCCACAAAACAAGCCUUCUCGGCUUGCCGUGGGACUCAGUUAAUUUGUGUAAGAAUGUCCCUAUAAUAUUUAUUUAUUGUUAUUAUUAUUGUAUGUCCGGUAACAGAACUCCCCAGGAGCACUCGGGUGUGUAAGGUCGCUACUCCCCAACUUAUUAUAAUUGUUAUUACUUUCAGCAUUUUUAAGUUGUUCAUCGGACACUGGGGCCAUUGAAGUUUCAAGUUGGCGGCAUCAAAAUGGAGUACCUAGAAACCAUACGGAAAUAAUGAGGAUGCAUCGACAUAAGAAGAAUCGAACAUGGGCAAGAUAAAGUUCAAGAAAAAAGCAAAUAUAAUGUGUACUUGUGUGUAGUCAAAGAAAGUUGAAAAAUAAAGCAUAAUUAAUGGCCAUAGAAUACAGAACCGAUACACGAACAUUAAGACUAUUAAAAAUAGACAUAUAGGUUGAUCGUACUACUCGUACUAAUGUAUUUCUUUUGUUCAAUUAUAUUAUUGCAUUAAAGUUAGAUUCUCUAGAUAUAUAU